GUUAUGAUAACAAACAUAAACAUUUGUCAAUGACACAAAGUUCACACGGACUUUGAUUUCUUCAAUAAAUCAAAUACAUAAGAUCUGCACUAUUUUACGAAGUAAGCCGUUCAUCGGAAAAAUAUUCAUCAGUCCGGCGUCCAUUAGUUAUCCAGCUUACAUUUGUAUUUGUUUUCAAAAUUAAAUAAAGGAAAAUUUAGAGCUUGAGAUACAUUUCAACGAAAUCGCAUGCCAAUGAUUUUCUCCGAAAAGGCGUUUUUUUUUUUCUAAUCAAAGUUUAACCAGUCACACCGAAUGUUACCCCCAACCAAGACAACACUUGAGAUAAAUCAUGAAAUGGAUAUUAAGGAAACGACGUCAUAAAAUAUAAAAAAAUUAAAUGAAUAGGACAUCAAAUAAUGUUGACGAUUUUACUACUUCGGGUUUAAUGAAAAUGUUUUAAUCAAAACAGUAUCUUAGCAACAAAUAGAAGAUAUAUCAUUUGAAAAUAAUGCACUUGUUGCACUCUAGUGAUAUACAUGAUAAAUAAAUUUGUCAUCGAAUCUUU